rnacentral:rRNA from 1 species
UACGUAGGGUGCGAGCGUUAAUCGGAAUUACUGGGCGUAAAGCGUGCGCAGGCGGUCUGUUAAGACCGAUGUGAAAUCCCCGGGCUUAACCUGGGAACUGCAUUGGUGACUGGCAGGCUUUGAGUGUGGCAGAGGGAGGUAGAAUUCCACGUGUAGCAGUGAAAUGCGUAGAGAUGUGGAGGAAUACCGAUGGGCGAAGGCAGCCUCCUGGGCCAACACUGACGCUCAUGCACGAAAGCGUGGGGAGCAAACAGG